GGGUGCGAUCAUACCAGCACUAAUCACCGGAUCCAUCUAGAACUCGCAUGUAGCGUGCUUGGGCGAGAGUAGUACUAGGAUGGGUGACCUCCUGGGAAGUCCUCGUGUUGCACCCC
rnacentral:rRNA from 1 species